CGCCAGGCGACUUCCUGAGCUUUCAGUUCUCCUACCAGGUCGUCCUCCUUGUAGUGCAUCUUGGACGUGUGUCUCCUCAUGCUGUAGACGGUCAGCAGCAGAUACAUGAAGGCAAACACAGUGUGGAGCCACAGCAGAAAAAUUAUUCAUUGACAGAAGAAGAUCCACGUGAGACCAGACCCCUACAG